rnacentral:rRNA from 1 species
CCUGCUUUCAGUUGCUACCGGGUCAUGCCGAGCACUCCGAAAGGACUGCCCAGGAUAACGGGGAGGAAGGUGGGGAUGACGUCAAGUCAGCAUGGCCUUUAUGCCUGGGGCCACACACGUGCUACAAUGGCCGGUACAAAGCGCUGCAAAC